rnacentral:rRNA from 1 species
GUGGGGAAUCUUCCGCAAUGGACGAAAGUCUGACGGAGCAACGCCGCGUGAGUGAUGAAGGUCUUCGGAUUGUAAAGCUCUGUUAAUCGGGACGAAAGAGCCUAGUGUGAAUAAUGCUAGGAAGUGACGGUACCGGAAUAGAAAGCCACGGCUAACUACGUGCCAGCAGCCGCGGUAAUACGUAGGUGGUAAGCGUUGUCCGGAAUUAUUGGGCGUAAAGCGCGCGCAGGCGGAUCUGCCAGUCUGUCUUAAAAGUUCGGGGCUUAACCCCGUGAUGGGAUGGAAACUACAGAUCUAGAGUAUCGGAGAGGAAAGUGGAAUUCCUAGUGUAGCGGUGAAAUGCGUAGAUAUUAGGAAGAACACCAGUGGCGAAGGCGACUUUCUGGACGAAAACUGACGCUGAGGCGCGAAAGCCAGGGGAGCGAACGGGAUUAGAUACCCCGGUAGUCC